AGGAGUAAGAAUAUUUAGGCAAUUAAUAAACAUUGACGAAUUGCUUUCUAAUUACCUUUGACUGUUCCAGUCUAAACUCCUACCAGCAGCACAUAUGAAAACAUCUCUGCGUGAGCUCCUUAGUGGAAACCUGCAAUACAUGAGCCCACCAUCACUCUCCCAGGGAACUUUUCCAGCAGAGUAAAGCAGCUCUAGCUGAUUUUAACAGCUCUCGGGUAUUCAGAAAGGACUGCUUUUCACAGAAUCAUCUGUUUGCCUCAGUAUUGUGGAACAAUGAGCUGAUUCAACAUAGGCCCAAAUUAGAAGUAUUACUAUACAAAAGUUGCUGUUUCAACCUAAAUGUCCAUCGACAGAGGAAUGGAUA